rnacentral:rRNA from 1 species
CCUACGGGGGGCAGCAGUGAGGAAUAUUGGUCAAUGGACGAGAGUCUGAACCAGCCAAGUAGCGUGAAGGAUGACUGCCCUAUGGGUUGUAAACUUCUUUUAUAUGGGAAUAAAAUGUUCCACGUGUGGGAUUUUGUAUGUACCAUAUGAAUAAGGAUCGGCUAACUCCGUGCCAGCAGCCGCGGUAACACGGAGGAUCCGAGCGUUAUCCGGAUUUAUUGGGUUUAAAGGGAGCGUAGGUGGAUUGUUAAGUCAGUUGUGAAAGUUUGCGGCUCAACCGUAAAAUUGCAGUUGAAACUGGCAGUCUUGAGUACAGUAGAGGUGGGCGGAAUUCGUGGUGUAGCGGUGAAAUGCUUAGAUAUCACGAAGAACUCCGAUUGCGAAGGCAGUUCACUGGACUGCAACUGACACUGAGGCUCGAAAGUGUGGGUAUCAAACAGGAUUAGAUACCCUAGUAGUC